rnacentral:lncRNA from 1 species
AGUUAUGUAUUCAAAGAUUGUGAAAGAAAAUAGUACAUUAUAAUAAAUUCCUUAUUCUCAUCAGUUCCUGAUGUUUAUAUACUUUUUUCAUAUCUUCGGCAUGCAGGAAAGAACUCUUUUAUCUGGUUUGGACCAACACCACGGGUAAACUUAACAGAUCCUGAGCUAAUUAGAGAUGUAUUUAACAAAAUGUACGACUUCCAAAAGCCUAUUGCGAAUCCGCUUGGAAAGUUACUAGCUAAUGGUCUUAUAAGUCAUGAGGGAGAACAGUGGAGCAAGCACAGAAAGAUUAUCAACCCUGCAUUCCAUUUAGAAAAAUUGAAGGAAAGUUUCCCUUUACUUGAUAUAGAAUCCAAUUGUGUUUAUCUAGGCCGCAACAUAUAACUUUUCAAGCAUCACAAUUAGGUUUAUAAGAAAACAUGAUUUGAAUUCUUAAUGCACAUGUGCUUAGUUUAACACCUCUUUGUCUCUUACAAACAGAUCAUGUUACCAAUAUACCUCAAAAGUUGCGAUGAUCUGAUUAGCAAAUGGGAGAAAAUGUUGGCUUCAGAUGGAUCAUGUGAAAUGGACGUAUGGCCUUUCCUUCAAAAUUUGGCGAGUGAUGUUAUUUCUCGAGCUGCAUUUGGAAGUAGUUAUGAAGAGGGAAAAAGAAUAUUUCAACUUCAAACCGAACAAGCCAAACUUACAAUGUCAGUUAUGACGAAAGUUUACAUCCCUGGAUGGAGGUAAGAUUAAUAUUUAUAUCACAAGUUGAAUUCGAAAAUGCUAUAUUUUGGAUAAAACUAAGCACUAGAUUCUAGUGAUACAGUAAAUGGAGAUUUGGCUCCUCUAAAAUUAAGUUAAAAUAAAGUAAGAAGACCAGAAUAAAAUAUUUCAACGCAUGUCACAUGGUUUGUUAUACUUGUGCUUGUAAUAACAACCAUUGAUUUAUUAAUCAAUGGUUUAUAGUAUUGUAUACUCUAAAGUGAGUUGUUCACUUUGGAGGAGUAAGAUCAAGGAAAUAGCAUUCCCUUCAGAUCAUUUGAAUUACAUACCAAUUAUGUUUAUUUUGAAGGUUUCUACCAACUACUACACAUAGGAGAAUGAAAGAAAUUGACCGAGACGUUAAAGCGUCGCUUACAGAUAUGAUUAACAAGAGAGAAAGAGCACUAAAGGCAGGUGAAGCCACUAAGGAUGACUUAUUAGGUAUACUUUUAGAGUCAAAUCACAAAGAAAUGGAAGAACACGGCAACAAUAAGAAUGUUGGAAUGAGUCUUGAUGAUGUAAUAGAGGAAUGCAAGCUCUUCUACUUUGCAGGCCAAGAGACCACUUCUGUUUUGCUUGUUUGGACAAUGGUGUUGUUGAGUAGGUACCCUGAUUGGCAAGAACGUGCAAGGGAAGAAGUAUUACAAGUUUUUGGCAACAAUAAACCUGACUUUGACGGGCUAAGUCAUCUUAAGAUCGUAAGUAUUAUGUACUUCCCUUCAUGUUAAACAAUAUAUGCCGUCAUACUUAACAUUGAUGUAACUCUUUUUGAUACAGGUCACUAUGAUUUUGUACGAGGUUCUUAGGUUAUACCCACCAGCAAUCGCGCUUGCUCGAAGUGUUCACAAAGAUGUGAUACUUGGAAACCUAGCAUUGCCAGCCGGAGUGCAGGUUUUCUUAUCGAUAAUUUUGGUUCACCAUGACAUAGAACUAUGGGGUGAUGAUGCUAAGGUGUUCAAUCCCGAGAGAUUUUCAGAAGGUGUUUUAAAAGCAACAAAUGGAAGAAAUUCAUUUUUUCCAUUUGGAGGGGGUCCUAGAAUUUGCAUUGGACAAAACUUUUCUAUGUUGGAAGCAAAGAUGGCAAUAGCAAUGAUUUUACAACGUUUCGACUUCGAACUUUCUCCAAGUUAUGCUCAUGCCCCGGCCACAGUAAUUACGCUUCAGCCACAAUAUGGUGCUCAUAUAAUUCUACGUAAAGUGGAAUUGUAAAAUUUAUAAUUUGCUUAUUCCACUAUUAGAAUGAUUGCAAUUAUUGAAAUAUAUAUCGUUUCCUUUUAUUAUUAUUCUUCUUUGAUGGUUGUUUAUUUUUCAUUAUGUCACCUUAAAUUAAGUUGUUGAUUAGUUGUAUUCUCUCCUAUAAAAGGAGCACCAUUCUUAUUGAAUAAAAUACUUUGAAGAAUAUAGAGUAAUUUCUACAUGGUAUUAGAGCCCCCGAUUUCGGGGGUCUUGCUUCCCGCAUAAACCCUAGCCGCCAUUAAUACGACAUCUUUUUUUUUUUUUUUUUUUUUUGGUUUUUGAUAUCCAGCAACACUGUUCAUCGAUACCGGCACUGUUCAUACGAGGUACUGUUCACGUCAUACUUUUUUUUUAUCAAAGCUAGAAAAAUUAAAUUGUAAAACAGAAGAUGCCUGAAUCGUUUACAACAAAAACUGGCCAACUAUGACCAUACUCAACUAAAACAAAUCUCAAUUAAAACAACAUAUAUGUAUAGAAGCAAAUCAACUGGCUAGACUAAGCUGCCAAAGUCCAAACAACUAGCUACUUGCACAUAUUAAGAAGCAUAUUUUGGAUUGUUUUUUAUUACACCCUUUUUGGAACGAGUUUGGAUGUGCUCACUACUUGUGAUGCCAUCCGAGCCUUUGCCUCUUGCAGAGCUGCUACUCUUUCUUGAUAUCCUGCUGGACUUAGGUUAGUGAAUAGCAUCUGGUUGUGCCAUCAAGAACUUCAGAGCCACAGGGUGCAUAUUCAUCAUUUCAGUGUCAGUGUCAAGGUCCAUAGUGCCAUCUGUCGUGUGGUCAGAAUCCACCACGUCCCUCCAAAAUUUGCUAAGAAUUUGGGCACUUUUCUUGGCUACAGUAGAAACAUUUUUAGAGCCACCAAUAGCAUGAAACCAAUAAAUCAACAUUCUCGAGUUCAACAUUUAAUGCCUCCUCUGGAACCUCAACAUUAUCUGUUGUUAACAAGGCAAAAGAGUUUUGCAAUUCGACCUCCGAAUCAGACUUAUAGGCAGGUUCUGACGGAUCAGAGGAGUGUAUAACAGGAACAAUGAUGCUAUGAACAGAAGAAGAUUGCAAUUCAAUAGGAAAAGUUUCAGCCAAAACAGGACGAGAUUGCUCUCGAUUAAACUCUACAACUUCAGAACGGAUGCCAACACCCACAUUCUGAGGUUGUGCAUUCUGCUUAUGUUGCAUCCAAGACGAAGAAUCAGCGCCUGGGAAUGAAUGCUUCUUACUGAUCAACUCUGCGCCAAUUCCUUGAAAAUUGGAACCAUGCUUUUUUUUUAUAACCCUGAAGAAAAUCCCGAUUCUUUUUUAUAAAAAAAAAAAAUAAUAAUUUUUUUUACCACAUGUGACGUGGCAUGACACGUGAUAGUGUCACGUAGACAGUCAAAUGUCACGUCAUGUUGACUAACAGAAGAAUUUGACGGAGGAGAUAAAUUGAUUAAUGUUAUACAAUUUAAAAUGAUAAUUGAAGUUUUGUUAAUGUUACGGAGGUAAUUGACGAAGCUUACAAUUUCAGAAAUUAAUUGUCUAUUUACUCUAGUAAGUAGUCUUAAAAGGACAAAUUCUUAUACACCCACCAAUAAAGAUAAGUAGAGUAGACUGUACUAAAUUGAUAUCAAUCAAAAUCAUUCAUUUAUCUUAUAAUACUGUAAUACUAUUUUUGUUGAUGAUAUAACAUCAAAUGUUUGAAAACUUAGUGUCCCACGACCAUAGAACCAACCACUUAAUAUACAAUCUCAAACAUUCAAUAUUAUGAAAGAUGCUUUAAGAAAAUCCAAAAAGAAUAAGCCAUUCCAAUAUGACUAAAUAAUUGGAAUAAAUUAUUCCGCAAUAGUGGCCUUAUAACAUAACUCAUUUGAUUGAGAUAUUGUAUUGUACUAUGUAAAAGUCGGAAUUUUACCCAUGAAAUCUUCGAUUAUUGACGGUGGAUUCUAAGUUUCUAACCAAUAAAAAAUAAUUCUGCGGCCGACUAAUUUUAAAAGAAAUCCAAAAAAAGUAUGUUAUUAGAUAAUUGUCUUUAUCUUAAAUAAAUGCAAAACCGACAAAAAGUCAUCAAUGACAUAUGGUGUGGACUUUGGACUGUAUUCAGUGCAGAACAACCAAAUUAAUUGAUCUUAUUGUAUUAAUCAUCUUCCCCUACUAAUUUCUUUCAUCCACCAAUUAUCACUCUACACAAAAAUGGCUACAAUUACAUCCAUAAUUCUCUUCACCUUGUUGACACUCUUUUUCAUAUUGGNUAAUUUCUUUCAUCCACCAAUUAUCACUCUACACAAAAAUGGCUACAAUUACAUCCAUAAUUCUCUUCACCUUGUUGACACUCUUUUUCAUAUUGGCAUGGAGGAUUUUGAAUUGGUUAUGGUUGAAGCCAAAGAAGCUAGAGAAAUUCCUAAGAGAACAAGGACUAAAAGGGAAUUCAUAUAGGCUUUUAGUUGGAGACAUGAAUGAUCUUCUUAAGAUGAGAAAGGAAGCAACAUCUAAACCUAUGAAUCUUUCUGAUGAUAUUGUUCCUCGUGUGUUUUCCUUUGUCCAACAAAGUGUUGCAAAACAUGGUAUGUCUCUCUUCUUACUCCUCUUUUUAAUUUCUAGUUUUACUAUAUUUAUAUAAUGAAGAAUAACAAUAAAGUACUAGUUUAGUUUCCCUCAACUAUACUAGUUAGUAAUAAAAAAAUCAAUUUGUAAAAUUCUAUAAAAAUAAUAGAAUUUUUUUUUUUUUUAGAUUAACAGUGAGGAGUGUAAAGUGAGGGAAGGUCUGACAAUAUUUUUACUUAAGUACAGACAAUCUCCAUCUCAUAAACCAACUUUGUAAGGAUGAUUUAAACUCAAUUUUAAAAUGGUAUUAGAGUCUAUGGAUUCGGGACACCCAACAUUUAUACACAAACCAAGCCCAAAAGUGAUGGAAGUGAGGGGUGUGUUGGGAAAAACUUAAAUCCCACAUUGAAAAGAUAAGAAUUAUGAUAAGAGUUUAUAAAAAGAGGCACCCCUCACCUUACAAGCCAGUUUAUAAGGUUGAGUUAGGGUCAAUAUCAAAAUAUAAAAUGGCAUUAGAGUUUCAAAAUCUAACAUGGUAUCAUAGUUUAUCAAUUCGCGCCACCCACCAUUUAUACACGCACCAAACCGAAUAGUGUUGUGUCGGGGCCAACCACAAUUUCUAACAUGGCAUCAGAGCCUCCAAAAGGUUUCCGCCAUCAAAUUACAAAUUGCAUUGCAUUCAACUAUCUACUAGUUGACAACCAUCCUAUUUCCUAAUUGACUUCCCUGUUAUUUCCAACUGAGUAAUUUUGUUGGUUACUCUCAUUGUAAUUCUCUGUAUCAGCUUCCACCACUUAAAGUUAAGGAGUGGAUCAAGAACCAAAUUUUUUGAUUAAAGCCAAUAUAAAUACCAACACAUAAAUUGCACUUACUGACUGAUACUAAACUGACAUUAUCAGGAUAUAAUUUCCUCUUAAAUUGAUAGCAUGUUUUUAUAAAAUAGUAUUCUGAUCCAAAUUUACUCCCUCCGGUCACAUUUAUAAGCAAAAAACAACUUUUUAGGUUCAUUCAAUAAUUAAUGUAUCUGACCUUUAUAUAGACUAGAUACAUUAGUUAUUCAAUAAACCUAAACAAUUUUUUUUGCUUAUAAAUGUGACCAGAAAGAAUGUAGUUAAUACUUAUUUCUUUGAAAUGAAUGACAUCGGUUUAUCAAACUUUGAUGUUAAUCAUUAAGAUUCAUAGUCUUCAUGAUUGUGAUUUUGAUCACUGAUCAUGCUGGGCAGUAGGCUCAAAACAUUACAACAUUGCUAUUCCUUCCAAUAUGUUACUAGCCUGAAUUAAAAUGAUAUUACUUCCUUGUUUGUUCAUGAGGUGUCAGUUCAGUGAAAAGAGUUUGAUUAUGUGGUCUAUUGCUUCGCUAUGGCGGGUUAUGACUUCACAAAUUGGCUAUGGCAUUCAUAAAAAAACCAGCCACACCAUUUGGCCAUCGCCGCCAUUUAACAACACUGUAUGUUUUACAAUACUAUCCUGCACCUUGUUCACUUUGGUGAUUUUUCAAAUUGGCAAUAAUACCUAAAUAUAUAAUAUAAACACUUAAAGUUCUGUAUUCAAAGAUUCCGGAAGCAAAUAGUACACUAUAAUAAGUUGCUAAUUCUCAUCAAUUCUUGAUAUUUAUAUACUUUUUUCAUAUCUUCGGCGUGCAGGAAAGAACUCUUUUAUCUGGUUUGGACCAACACCAAGGGUGAACAUAACAGAUCCUGAUAUGAUUAGAGAUGUAUUUAACAAAAUGUACGACUUCCAAAAGCCUAAUGCGAAUCCGCUUGGAAAGUUACUAGCUAAUGGCCUUGCAAGUCAUGAGGGAGAACAGUGGAGCAAGCACAGAAAGAUUAUCAACCCUGCAUUCCAUGUAGAAAAAUUGAAGGAAAGUUUCCCUUUACUAGAUAUAGAAUCCAAUUGUGUUUAUCUAGUCCGCAACAUAUAAUUGUUCAAGCAUCACAAUUAGGUUUAUAAGAAAACAUGAUUUGAAUUCUUAAUGCACAUGUGCUUAGUUUAACACCUCUUUGUCUCUUACAAACAGAUCAUGUUACCAAUAUACCUCAAAAGAUGCGAUGAUCUGAUUAGCAAAUGGGAGAAAAUGUUGGCUUCAGAUGGAUCAUGUGAAAUGGAAGUAUGGCCUUUCCUUCAAAAUUUAGCAAGAGAUGUUAUUUCUCGAGCUGCAUUUGGAAGUAGUUAUGAAGAGGGAAAAAGAAUAUUUCAACUUCAAACCGAACAAGCCAAACUUACAAUGUCAAUUAUGACAAAAGUUUACAUCCCUGGAUGGAGGUAAGAUUAAUAUUUAUAUCACAAGUUGAAUUAGAAAAAGCUAUAUUUUGGAUAAAACUAAGCACUAGAUUAUAGUGAUACAGUAAAUGGAAAUUUGGAUCCUCUAAAAUUAAGUUAAAAUAAAGUAAGAAAACCAAAAAAAAAUAUUUCAACGCAUGUCACAUGGUUUGUUAUACUUGUGCUUGUAAUAACAACCAUUGAUUAAUUAAUCAAUGGUUUAUAGUAUUGAAUACUCUAAAGUGAAUUGUUCACUUUGGAAGAGUAAGAUCAAAGAAAUAGC